CACCGCGGUUAUACGAGAGACCCAAGUUGAUAGUUAUCGGCGUAAAGAGUGGUUAAGUUAGCCCUAAUAACACUAAAGCCGAACGCCCCCAAAACCGUUAUACGUACUCGGAGGUAUGAAGCCCAACUACGAAAGUGGCUUUAAAAUACCCAACCCCACGAAAGCUGUGAAA
rnacentral:rRNA from 1 species